GGGUUCAUAUUUAAACUAUUGGACCACUUCUAAUGAAUGAGAGUUUAAACUUUUUGUUGGGUUUAUAUUUAAACUAUUAUAUUAAGUUAUUCUACAAAGAUUUCUAAAAGUAAAAAGUGUAAGAAUGCAUUAUAAAGUGACAGGUGUCCAAGAACCCUACCCCCAUCACCCACCCCCAUUUUUUUUGUGUACCUUUGUAUUUGAUCCUAAACCUUAAGCUAUUGGACCACUUCUAAAUGAGUUUAAACUUUACUAACGGGUGUUCAACUAGUAAAACAGUAACUUAUGUUAAAAUGAAUUUAGUGUUCAAUGAGUUUAAAAUAAAUAAAAUAUUAAUGGAUUUAAAUGUUUAACAAAGUAUAUAGAUUUUUUUUAAAUAUAUAUAGUAUAUACACAUACUAAACCCAAACCUGUGAAUCUGCUUAGUGUCAUACUAAAAAUUCAUACCCCUUAAUUUUAUUACUAAAUCAUUCCAAAUCGGCAGUGAUAUGUUUCUAUGUGCUUAUGAAGUUUUUCUUGAAUAUUGUACUUGCCGACAAUAUUUUCAGAGGUGAAACUAUUACAUCUGACCUCAAAGUUCAAAUUAGUGAUCUCUUUAUUCCUAUAUUUAUUACUUGACUUUUACUUUCUGAAAAAAAAAAAAUGUAAAUGUACUACCCUCAAAACAUUGUUU
rnacentral:lncRNA from 1 species